AUCCGUGCCCAUCUUCCUCUACUUUAUAUGUGGGACGCCUGCCACAAAAAAAAUUUAAAAAUUCGAAUCCAUAUCUCUCUCGCUAUUUGCACUUACAGAAGUGUAAACAUUUCAAUUUUAAAAUUAUACGUGAAAUAAAUAGCAAGGUCAUUGAAAUCGCAGUUAAUGUGGCAGGCUCUAAUGCAAGCCAAAAAUGCAUGAGACUGUGCCUUCUCUUCCAUUCCGACAUUGUCCUGCCUGUCUGCCUCCAUGCUGCCUGAGUCCUCAAGGAUUUCCGGUUAACUCCUGCCUUAAAGUCUAAAUCAGCUGGCAUGUACUGAACCCCUUUCAUGGCUGCAACCAGCAAGGCAUCUCCUGCUAAUUUUCAAUCUGGCUCAUUUUUGUGUGAUGACACUUUCUUGAAGCGACUAAUAUUAUCUCUAUGAGAAAAAGCCCUAUGUGUGACUUUUCAUUAUAAAAAUAUCCACUGGGUACAUAAGAUUAUUCAAGAAAACAUGAAAGCUUGCAGAACAAGUAAACAGCUGAAAGGGCAGCAAGACAAGAUAAAUGUUUCCUAAUAAAAACAUGGGAAUACAUUUCGUUAUCUGUGAAAAGUAGAGAGGUCGUCUGAAGAGAUAGAUAAGGUUAAAAAAAUACUAUGAGAUAUAGACACACACACAACUAUAGAUAAAUAUAUUAAUAGAGAUACAUAAAUAUCAAAUUCAUCAUAUUCACAUCCCCCCAAUGUGAAGGCCUGCUCGUUUCCAUUCUACCCCACUCCUCUCUAUUAUUUAUCCAGUUACAAAACUAGAGAUCUGGGAAGCACACUUAACCUGCUCUUUUCCCUAUCUCCCAUACCUAACUACUAAAAAUCUUCUGGUUAUAGUCUACUAACUAAAUUUCUCUUGCCCCUACCUAAUUUCAACCAACAAAUUUUUUCCCCUUCUGGUAUAGGACAGAAAGUGCAAACUCCUUAUCAUGGCAUAAAGACCCAUUAGAUUUAGCCACACGAUAUCCUUAUCUCCUGUCUUUCUCCGUUAUGCACCCUGGCACACGCUGUUCCCUCUGCUUGGAAUGGUUCCUUCCACUGUGGAUGAACUCCAACAAGAAGGCUCACAGAUCAUUUCCUUGGUGAAGCCGAUGGUGCUCCUUGCUGCCCAGGCAUACUUUCUUAAAGGACUGAUUACUUAUCUUAAACAUUUUCUCUAACCUACCUGUCUCUUCCACUAGACAAUGAAAUUCUUGAAGUCAGAGAUAUUGUCUCAUCUGUCAUAGUGAGAAUCAAAACUGUGUACCACACACACACACAAACACACACACUUUGCUGUCAACAUUAACAGAACUUGGCUAUUCAACUCUCUUCAUUUGCAUAACUUCGCUAUUCCAGGAGACUCCUACCCAGGAAGAUAACAUUGUGAAUAACUAUAUUGUUCAUCCCAGGAAUUUCUCUAAAAUACAUCAACUCAACAGAAAAUAUCAAGCAACAGAUUAUACAUUAAGACUCUUUAAAUAAUAAAUGUAGAUGAAAUAAAUGUCUUUGUAUGUAUUACAACUAAAACAAUAGUAACAUAAUAGUGAACAGAGGAGAGGUAUUACUGAAUAAAAUGUACAAAUUAAUUACAGCCCAUUCUACUCAUUCAUUCUCUACAGUGGCUGAGGAUUCCUUCCUCUACUUAAAGGGGACAACUUUAAUAGCAUAUUGAAAAGGAGGAAAUUCUCACAUUUUCUGAGCUCUGUACAGACAUAUUUUCCAGACAAAUCUUUGAUCAAAACGAAGGCAUGGCCAACAAAUAUCUUCCAACAGUCAACUUGAAUCUACUCACCUAUCAGUGACAUGGGAGUUCUUCGAUGGUGAUUUUUAAUAUGCUGAAAUUUUGUAGGACAAAAAAUAAGCACACAUAUACUAAGUGGUUUAAUAUACAAUGCAUGUUAGUAUUCACCAGGCUUUCAUUCUCCAUCUCCUUUUCUCCAUCUACUCAUUAGUUUUAACUAAUCUCCCUUCCUUUUCCUACCUCCAAGAAUCUUUCUCUCUGCCAUCUAGAAAUCAUAAAAUGUAAUCAGCAAAAUCACCUAAAUCUUCAACUUUUCCUCUGGUUCGUCUCUUUACCAUCUUGCUUUCACUGAAACUCGGCAGUGCCCUGAGAACACAACCUAUCCUUGAUCCUCCUCUCAUACUAUAUCUUGGGUUCCUUAGAUAAACAGCAGGCCUAAGGGGAGAAGAAAUACACAAGACGGUCCUGGAAUAUCUUGCCAUACAUAUCACAAGCAAGGUAUCAAAGACCACCAAGAUCGUGUCGAAACGACCCAAGGAGCUAAUGUAAAGAGGGUCCCAAUGGUCAGAGAAGGAAAAAUUUGAGCACCUCUAAGAAUAAUACCUACCUUGGAUUGAAGCACAAAAUGUUUAAAUUUAAAUAUGUUUAAGAUUGUGAGUUCAAAAUGAUAGUAAAAAUAAUCAUAAUGGGUCUAUAUCGGAGGAUGCUAGAGAAUCAUCUCAUUACUUUGAAAACAGAUAAAGGAAAAUGAUCAUGCAUUUAUAUGAACUAUACCACUGGUAUACCAAAUGUUAGAUGAGGAGACAUUUCUGUUUAUAAAAAUGUUCUCAGGGAUUUCUAGUCUCAGCCAUGCAUGAUAAAGGAGCUGGUACUGAACUAACCCUUCUGCCAAAAACAACUAUAAAAGCUGGAUGACAUGCAUAAAUCGAAUGUCUGAAGGCAUUGGCAAGAAACCAGGACAGGCAGGACUCUCGCAGUCCCUGGGAGAAGGGAAGCACAUAUGGUGAGCUCUACAUCCAUGCUAUGGCUUUGUCCUGGGGGCAUUUUUCAAACUAUGAUGCAGGGAAUAUAGCUCAAACAGAAAGUGACAGUCUUAUUGGACUGGAGGGAAAGAGGUCUGAGUUCAGGACUGCCAAAGUGGCUUGGAAUUGAGCAUCAAAAUCCCAGACAGGAAAGGAAUUGAGAGAAAGAUCCAAAAAUCUGCAUUCAAAUUCCCCUCAAUUCAUAUCAAUGCCUCAUGAUGUUAAUAUAGAUGACACCACUAGCACAAAUGCUGGCAGGGGGUUAAACGGAAUUAAACUGUUGCAGGGUUCUUAUAUUGGUCAGUAACUGGUAAAGCUAUUAAUUUAAGGUAGGUCACAAUAAGUUAUGGAUGUAUAUUGGAAUUUUAUGGAAACCACCAAUAGAAUAAUUUUUAAAAUGCAUAACUAAAAAUCCUGUAGAGGGAAAAUGGAAUAAUAAACAAUACCUGAUUAAUCAAAAAUAAUUCAAGAAAGGAGAAGUGCAGGAUCAAAGAACAAAUGGGUUAUAUAGAAACCACAUAAUAUGCUGGUAGAUGUAAACCCAAUUGUUUUAGUUAGUUUGGGCUGCUAGAACAAAAUACCGUAAGAUAGAUGGCUUACAAACAACAGAAAUUUAUUUCUCACAGUUCAGGAGGCCGGAAGCCCAAGAUCAGGGUGCCAGCACAGUUGAGUUCUGUUGAGAGCCCUGUUCCCGGUUGUGGACUAUUGAUUUCUUGUUGUAUCCACACAUGGCAGAGAGCAGAGAAAGGAAGCGAGGUCCCCUUCUAAGGGCACUAAUCCCAUUCAUGAGGGCUCCGCCUUCAUGACCUCCUGUAAUCCUAAUUACGUCCCCGAAGCUCCACGUCCUGAUACUAUCACACUGGGGGUAGGGUUUCAACAGAUGAAUUUUGGGGGGACACAUUCAGUCUGUAAAACCAACUAUAUCAGCAGUUAUAUGAGAUAUAAAUGGACCAAAGAUGUCAAUUAAAAGACAGGCUGUGAGACUGAAUUAAAAAGAAAAAAAAGAUCCAGCUAGAUGCUGUUUAUAAGAGACAUACUCUAAAUACAAAACACAGAAAAAAUAAAAAGAACGGAAAAAUACAUACCAUGCAAAAACUAAACAAAAGAAAGCUACUAUAGCUUUACUAAUACCAAGCAAAGUAGACUUUAAAUAUUACUAGAAAUAGAGUGAUGUUUUAAAAUGUAAGAGUCCAUUAAAUAGGAAGAUAAAACAUUCCUAAAUUUGUGUCACCUAAUAGUUAAAGGCAAAAGAGACAAAUCCACAAUCAUUAUUGGAAAUGUUGUAAUAACUGACAGAAUAAGCAGACAAAAAAUCAGUAAGACUGUAGAAGAUUUGAACAACACAACAAACCACCUUAACCUAAUUGACCUUCAGACAACGCUACAGUCAACAACUGCAAAGUACAAUUUUUUUAGCUGCAUUUAUAUGUUUGCCAAAACAGACCAAAGCAAAUCUUAACAAAUUUCAAAGAAUAGAAAUCAUACAGCAUGUUUCUCACCAGAAUGGAAUUAAACUAAAGGACAGGGACAUAAAGAUAACUAGAAAAAUUCCUAGAUAUUUGGAAAUUAAGCAAUACACUUCUACAUAACCUAUGAGUAAGAGAAAAAAAUUACAAGGGAAAUAAAAAUAAUAUAAGAUCUUACAAAGUCACUUUCAUAAGCUGAUUUGCUUUUGAAUUACUCAUUUCAUAAGACAGCUUUUGGAAAACUUUAGAGGAAGCUUACGGACUUACUCCAUUCCUCCAAUCUAAAAUAGGCUUUUGUCCAAGUACAAUUCCAGCAAUUACUAGACUUAUAUUUGUGAAGAACAGUGAAGGGUCUGAUAUUUUACUGUACUUGCUACCUAACAAGUAGGCCCACCAGAGGUUUAAGGGUGCUAACCAAAGACACGAGACUCCUGGGUCAGAGCCAAAGGAUUUUAUUACUCACAGCACGGUGGCAGCAUGAGCUUCAAGUUUACAUGUGUUCCCUGCCCCCCAAAUCCCAUAGGGGUGCUACGGAGCAUCUCAGGUGCAGGAAGCUCACUAGGGUGACCAACUCCCUGGUGUACCCAAAACUGAAGGGUUCCUGGUAUUCAAGACUUGAUGCUAUAAUCAGGAAAGCCUCAGGCAAACUAGGACAAAUUGGUCCCCUGGUGCACACAGGGUUCGUAUCAGAGCUGAGAUGCCCUGAGCUCAGGAAACACCAAACUUUGAAAGAACACUGCCAACAAAUUUGCCCAACUUUUGCUGCAGAAGGAGAUAUUAUCUUUCUUAUCCUGGACAGCAAACAAAUCUGCCCUUUGCCUCAGAGAGACACUAUCUUUAUCUUCCAAAGCUAUUUGUCGUACAAACACCCUUGAAAAGAUAGUCCAGAACAGAAGCUGUCAAUUAAUCCAUUCAGAAGAAAUGCAGAAAUGCAAGAGAUCUGUGGGGAAUUGUCUCCCAAUAAUAUUCUUAGAAAAUUACAGUACAAUUAUAUUACAAUCAUCUCUGUACUAAUCUGUAUCUUAGCUUUAAAAAUGAGACAUCCCUACUCUUCCACACUUUGAUCAAGUUUCUUUUGUUAAGAACCCAAUACAAAAUGUUUGCUUGCUGGUUUUUUAAUAGGAAGUUUGUGAUGAAGGCACCUAAGUAUACUGAAAAAGACCUCUCUCUUAAGAAUAAGUUGCUAUUUUAUCUCAAGACUUAAUAAUAAAGAAUAAGAUAUUUGUUUCUACUGUUUUCAUUAUCCAAGGAUAUCCUCACUAAAUCCAUCUCUUGGCAUCUACCAAAAGAGAUCAGGACCCAGGAAAAAGGCAAGGGAAUUUAGGAAUGGGGAGAAAUAAAUCAGGGGAGAAAAACAAAUCCGCAUCUCUUUUGCGGAAUGAAGUAGGUGCUGGAGAUUGAACUAACCUGCACUUUGUGGAGAUGUGUGCAGUCAAUUUCCCUAGACUGCAUCAGCCUGUAGGUUCUGGUGGCUCACAUUAACUGUAACGAUUCCAAUUUCACUGGUUAUUUCCCCCACCCAGGAGAAUUUCUGGGUGUUCCUAGGGGAUGUCUCACAAGCACUCACCAAGUCUUUCCUUACCAUGCUUCACCAUUUACCACUGGCAUCCGCUGUACACCACCAGGUCCGCGGGACGCUGGGGCCUCCCACCACAGCUGAGGCCUGGGUCCCAUAAGAUACAAAGACUCAUCAUAUUCUGUUACUGCAUUAGUUUUCUAUGGUUGCAGAGCAAAUUACCAUAAAUGCAGUGACUUAAAAGAACACAAAUGAAUUAUCUCCCAUUUCUGUGGGUCAGAAGUCUGGCAUGGCUCAACUCGGUUCUCUGUUUAGGGUCUCACAAGGCUGAAAUCAAAGUGUUCCCUGGGCUGGGCUUUUAUCUGGAGGCCUUAAGAAAGAAUCUGCCUCCAAACUCAUUCCGGUUGUUGGCCAAAUAUGGAAUGAGGUCCAUGUUUCUCUGCCAGCUGUCAGAAAGGCGCCGUCUGAAUUCCUUGGCACAAGGCCCACUCCAUCUUCAACCCAGCAACAGCGCACCAAGCCCCCUUGUGCUUUGAGUCUCUGAUUUCCUUUUCUGCUCCUGCCUACAGAAAACUCUCUGCCUUAGAAGGGCUCACCUGAUAGGAUCAGGCCCACCUGGAUAAUAUCCAUACUUUAUCCAUACUUUGGGACUUCAAUUACACCGGCAAAAUCCCUUCAAAGAUGUACCUAGAUUACUGUUUGAAUGAAUAAGCAUGGGGUGGGGGGCCGUGGGGGGAACUAGAGGAAAGCCUCUUUAGAAUCCUGUCUACCCCAGUUGCCAUGAAGGGAAGAGUUUCUCUUCCCUCUGCAUCUGUUUCUGAGAGCUCCAGUAAAGCACUGCUUGUGCAUCUCCAUUUGAGAGUUUUUAGAAAAUUAGAUCCUUUAGGGUUUAGGAACAGAAACAUUGCUCCCCACAGGAUUUAAACCUGAAUCCCAUACCGUCUUGGCUACAAGUCAAAUGAAAAUGAAAAUUUUGAUGCUGUAUGUAGAAUCACCCAUCCACCCAGACAACUAAGGUUUUGUUACAGGGUUAAACCCUCCUGUCUUAGGACAAACACUUUCUCAGAAAUCUCUUUAGUCCAUCCGAAAAACAAGCCUUUUGAGGAGAUGGCCUUACCAGUACACCGGGCAUGUCCAGACAUGUCUGAAUUCUAGUUGAGUCCACAGCCUGUUCUCCUGCCACAUUUACAUACUGUUGAUAUGGGAUCUCUGAGCUUCGUGUGGGUCAGAAUGUUGAGCACACUGAGCCUCUGCUCUCCGUGGAACAGAGAGAGUAUGUCUCUUGCUGAGCAGCUAAAUGUAUGACUUGUACUUUGAGACAAAUGGGGAUUUAUGCUUGCCUAGCUUACAGGCCUCCUCAGAGUUUCUGUGCUUGGAAAGGGGAAGGGCAAAGUAACAAUAAACCAAACACAUUUCCAGAAGGGAUAGGUAGAGAAAUAAUCAGUGUUGUUUCUGCAAGAACGUCUGCAGGUCUGGAAUCAAGUGAAAAAUUGGGCUUUGUUUUCUACGUAUAGACUCAAGCAGAACCCAAGCCAGAACAGAGUGAGCAUUAUGGGGAGGAAGGAUCGUGUCCUCUGCUUUCACUUUUUUCCACGCAGUUUGCUCUAAACACACAGACAGCCCAAAGCUGAGCUGGGGCUGAACUGUAGAAGAGGCAGGCAGAAAGGUAAGAGAGGACGUUAAAGUCCACCAACAAGCUUUAAUGUUUUUUGACUUUGCUUGUUGACAGGUGUCAGGUAAGACCAUCCUUGGCAGAAACGAACUCCAAAAACCAGGACAGCCCACUCCUACCAAGCUACGUCAUAUGGAUCUCGCUGUAUUUUUCCCCAAGGCUUUCUAAGAUCCGCUUAAUUCUAUUCAUUGUCUGUGUGACAAAAAAAAAAAAAAUCAGUGAUGUGUCUUGACUUCUGAAAGAGUGGGAAAAUAGCAAAGUGGAUUGGUCAAUUUAUUAUAUGUUUUUAGAGAGGUGUUCUAUUAAACCAGCCAGUAAACAAAGGCAAUGGGGAAUUUAAUUUCAGAAUUUUAUUUUCCUUUCAUGGGUCUCAAGAUCAUUUACGUGGGAGAGAAUGAUGCAUAUAAGAAGAGACACCUUCCAGGUUGAUAUUACACUACCCUCAAAAGUGAUGGAAGUCCCCAAGCAAGAACCAGGUUACGGGAAAAAUUCCAACUGGAAAGCAGGCUUUUUCCAGGUCAGGUUGAAGAGUCCUUUCCUCGUGUCACCUUCUCAGUUCCUCCCUGGGGUUAGCAGUCCAAAGUCACAAGAGAUCCACGUCAACACAGCCUAAGAUGGUUACUCAGCUUCACAGCACCAGGUCAGAGAGAAAAGGGGCUCAGUUGGGACAGUUCAUCUACGCUCCACUCAGCUUUGGCUGGGGUAGCAGAAAGGCUGGGAACUGGGACCAUCUCAAGUCUUGCCCACUAAGAGGUCUGGCGGUUGAUGCCGGAGAUCUCCUGGAGCCCUGGCUGUGGAUGUCAAACACCUCCAUGUGCUUUCUACAUGCGCCCUCACAACAUGGUGGCUGAUUUCCAAGAGUGAGUUUUUCAAGAAAGUGAGCCAUAAGGAAGCUGUACUGCCUUUUCUAGCAGGACCUUGAUAUAGACACAGCAUCACUUUUCAAUGCGUUCUGUUUGUUAGAUACAAGUCACUAACAUAACACUGAAUGCUACUCAAGGGAAGGGUAGUUAAAGUGAACCUUUUGAUGAAAAGAGUAUUAAAAAAUUUGUGGAAAUGUUUUAAAACCAUGAUACUCACACAUAGUUUACAUGAAACUAACUUAUAAUUUCCCCUACUUCCCAUUGACCUGACUGGCAGUUUAUAUUAAUGCGACUAUGAAUAAUAACACUUUGUUGAAAAUAUAAAAUCUGGGACAAAUAUAAGACUUGGCAGGAUACAAAGGAUUUAAGAACAUGAUGUUUUUAAAACUUUACAUGUCCAAUAAAAAACUGACUGGAUAGGCUCAAUGGCAGAAUGGAGAUGACAGAAAAGAGAAUGUGUAGGACAGUACCAAAACGUCCAGUAUUUGUGUAAUCUGAGUUCCAGAGGGGAAAAAAAAGGUUUAUACAGAAAAGAAAUCUGGAGAAAUAAUGGCUGAACAUCCUAAUUUUAAUGAAAGACAGAAAUUUAUACUUUAAAGAAGUUCCGUAAACUCCAAACAGGAUAAACGCAAAAUCCAUAGCAAGACAUAUUGUAAUCAAGGUCAUGAAAAGUAAAAACAAAGAAAAAUUCUUUAAAAGCAGCAAGAGGGAACAACACAUUAACUAUAGGGGAAGAACAAUUCAAAUGUUUCUCUUCUGAAAUCAUGGAGGCCAGAAAGAAUUAGUUCGACAUUUUCAAAUGCAAAAAUUUCCUUCAGGAAUAAAGAUAAAACAAAUGAUUUCUCUAUUGAAAGAAAACCAAGAGAAUUUGCUGCCAGAAAACUUGUUCUAAAAUAACUGUUAAAGGAAGUUUUUCAGGCCAAAGGUAAGUGAUACCAAAGAAAAAUUGUAAUGCCAGGAAUGAAGGGAGAGCAACAGAAAUGAUGGAAAUAUAAUUUCUCUUAAGCGCUUUAAAAUAUAUUCGAUAGAUAAAAACAAAAAUUAUCACAUUGUCUGAUAGUUUUUCAAUGUACAUUGAUGUAAUAUGUGUGACAAUUAUGACAUAAAUGGAGGAGAAUAAAAGGAACUACCUAUAUGGUGGUAAGCUUUCUACACUCUAAUUCAAGUGGUAAAAUAGCGAUUCUACAUAAACCGUAAAAUGUUAAGUAUGUAUAUUAUAACUUUUGAGUAACCACUACAUAAACUAUUAAAAAAAGAGAGAUAAUCAAACACACAAUAGAUAACUUAAAAUGGAUACAGUAGUCCCCCUUAUCCACAGAAGAUAUGUUCCAAGACCUCCAGUGGAUGCCUGAAACCACAGAUAGUACCGAACCCUGUAUAUACUAUAUUUUUUCUUAUAUGUACUUAUUUGAGGCAUGACAGCAAAACUACCACAAAUUUCUUUUUCCAUCUUCACAAUUUCACAGAUAAAAAAUUCAUUUUUACUGUAGAACUUAGCAACCUCACCAUACAAUUUUUUUUCCUUAUUAGGUUGAGAACUUACACCUUUUCGAUUAAUGGAAGCAUUUUAGGGCUUCUCUUUGGCAUAUCCAAAUUGCAAGCAUCAUUACUCUUGUGUUUUGGGGCUACUAUUGAGUAAAAUAAGGGUUACUUGAAUGCAAGUACUGGCAUACCGUGACAAUCUGAUAAUGGAGAGAUGGCUACUAAGUGACUAACAGGUGGGAAGUGCAUACAGUGUGGAUAUGCUGAACAAAGGGAUGAUUCAUUCCCAGGUGGGACAGGAUGGGAUGGCACAAAAUUUCAUCAUGCUACAGAAUGCAUGCAAUUUAAAACAUAUGAAGUGUUUAUUUCUGGAAUUUUCCAUUUAAUAUUUUCAGGCUACAGUGGACUUCAGGUAACUGAAACUGUGGAAAGUGAAACCAUAGAUAAGGGGGUACUACUGUACUAAAAAAGUGCAUAUAAUCCAGAGAAAGGCAGUAAUAGACAAAUAGAAAAGCAAAAAAUGGAGGGGACAAACAGAAAAUGAAUAAUUAGAUGGUAGAUUUAAAUCCGAAUAUAUCAAUACUUAGAUGUAAAUAGUGUAAACACAUAAAUCAAAAGAAGAGAUUGUCAAAAAGGAUUUAAAAUGAAAAGCUAGGCAGAGUAAAGGCAAAAUGAUGAAAAACAGGACACCAUGUAAACAGUAAUCAAAAGAAAAGUAAAAUGAUAAACAAGGAUAUUACAUAAUAACAGAUGGGUCAAUUCACCAAGAAGACAAAAAAAAUCCUAAAUGAGUAUGGACCUAACAACAAAGCUUCAAAAUAGAAGAAGCAAAAACUGAUGGACUGAGAGCAGAAAUAAACAAAUUCGUAAUCAUAUUUGACAACCUCAACUUCUCUCAAUUUUUGAUAUAACAAGCAGACAAAACUCAGAAAGUAUGUAGAAGAACUGAAUAACACCAUCAAUGAAGUGGCUUUAAUUCACAUUUACAGAACACUUCACCCAAUAACAGCAGAGGACAUAUUCUUUUCAAACGUACAUGGAACAAUCACCAGGAUAGACUAUCUCCUGGGUUACAAAGUAAAACCUAACAAAAUUUUUUAAAAAUUGAGAUCCUACAAAAUACAUUCUCUGAGAUUAACAGAAUUGAAUUAGAAAUUGAUAACAUAAAGAAAACAGGAAAAUUUCCAAACACUUAGAAAUUUAAAAACACACUAGUAAUAAUCCACAGAUCAAAGAGGAAACCUCAAAGAAAGUUAAAAAAAAUAUACUGUACUGAAAGAAAUUAAAAUCCAACAUAUCAAAAUUUUAGAACUGCCUCUAAAGGCAUCUAUUGAGAGAGAUUUACAGCAUUAAACACUUAGCUUAGAAAGAAUAAAGGUCUCAAAUCAGUAAUCUAAACCUUUACAUUAAGAAAUUCAGAAAAAACACUCAAAAGCAAGCAUAAGAAGGAUAUUACAAAGAUAAGAGCAGAAAUUGAAGAGAAAAAAAGAUUGGUUUUUAUUAACCUUUAAGAAGGUUAAUAAAAUCAAUGAAGCUCUAGCAAGACUGAAAAAGAAGAAAAGAGAAGACAAAUUCAUCAGGAAUGAAACAGAGGAUAUCAGUACAGACCCUACAGCUAUUAAAAGGGAAUACUCUGGACAAUUAAUUGCAUAUAAAUCCAAUAACUUAUAUGAAAUGAACCAAUACCUCAAAAACCAUAAACUCAUGCAAGAUGAAAUCAAUAUUCUGAGUAGUCUUAUAACUAUUAAAAAAUUGAAUUUUUUUGGGGC